UACGUAGGGGGCUAGCGUUAUCCGGAAUUACUGGGCGUAAAGGGUGCGUAGGCUGUCUUUCAAGCCAGAAGUGAAAGGCUACGGCUCAACCGUAGUAAGCUUUUGGAACUGUAAGACUUGAGUGCAGGAGAGGAGAGUGGAAUUCCUAGUGUAGCGGUGAAAUGCGUAGAUAUUAGGAGGAACACCAGUAGCGAAGGCGACUUGCUGGACUGCAACUGACGCUGAGGCACGAAAGCGUGGGUAGCAAACAGGAUUAGAUACCCUGGUA
rnacentral:rRNA from 1 species